AACGAACGCUGGCGGCAUGCCUAACACAUGCAAGUCGAACGAGACCUUCGGGUCUAGUGGCGCACGGGUGCGUAACGCGUGGGAACCUGCCCUUAGGUUCGGAAUAACUCCCCGAAAGGGGUGCUAAUACCGGAUAAUGUCUUCGGACCAAAGAUUUAUCGCCCUUGGAUGGGCCCGCGUUGGAUUAGCUAGUUGGUAGGGUAAAAGCCUACCAAGGCGACGAUCCAUAGCUGGUCUGAGAGGAUGAUCAGCCACACUGGGACUGAGACACGGCCCAGACUCCUACGGGAGGCAGCAGUGGGGAAUAUUGGACAAUGGGCGAAAGCCUGAUCCAGCAAUGCCGCGUAAGUGAUGAAGGCCUUAGGGUUGUAAAGCUCUUUUACCCGGGAUGAUAAUGACAGUACCGGGAGAAUAAGCUCCGGCUAACUCCGUG
rnacentral:rRNA from 1 species